GUUUACAUAUCAACUAAUUCAUGCAGCUAGCGCUCAUCAUUCUCUCCAACUAGUGGAGUUAGCGGGUGAAACUGGUAUGUUUCAACUCGUCUCGUCGAUGGGAUCCCGUAGCUAUUUAAUUGAAAAGUGGGAGAGGAAGUUUGCAAGGUUAACCGAGUUUCCAUGUUUGUUGGCUCUUUCUUGGUUUCAAAAGCUAAGGAGGGUUGCUAAUAAGCCCCAAAGUUGUCUCUUAUGAUCACAAAUCCCGAUUCUUCAGUGCCAAAAGUCCAUAUGCACAAGGGUCAGAAGUCUACCUCCCAUGUUCCGGUCCAAAAAGCCUUGAAUUCCAAGUCCAUUCUGCUUUCCAACAUUGACAAGAUUA
rnacentral:misc_RNA from 1 species